GGCUAGGAUGAACGCUAGCGACAGGCUAACACAUGCAAGUCGAGGGGCAGCACAAGGAGCAAUCUGAGGUGGCGACCGGCGCACGGGUGAGUAACACGUAUGCAACCUGCCUGUAAGCGGGGAAUAACCCGUUGAAAGACGGACUAAUACCGCAUAAUACUAAAUUACUGCAUGGUAAUUUAUUUAAACAUUUAUGGCUUACAGAUGAGCAUGCGCAUGAUUAGCUAGUUGGAGAGGUAACGGCUCCCCAAGGCAACGAUCAUUAGGGGUUCUGAGAGGAAGGUCCCCCCACACUGGUACUGAGACACGGACCAGACUCCUACGGGAGGCAGCAGUGAGGAAUAUUGGUCAAUGGACGAGAGUCUGAACCAGCCAAGUCGCGUGCAGGAAGAAUUGUCCUAUGGAUUGUAAACUGCUUUUGCAGGGGAAUAAAGUGCAUCACGUGUGAUGUUUUGUAUGUACUCUGCGAAUAAGGAUCGGCUAACUCCGUGCCAGCCGCCGC
rnacentral:rRNA from 1 species